rnacentral:rRNA from 1 species
AGAGUUUGAUCCUGGCUCAGGAUAAACGCUGGCGGCGUGCCUAACACAUGCAAGUCGAACGAAGAGGCCCCUUCGGGGGUACUUCAGUGGCGGACGGGUGAGUAACACGUAGGUGACCUACCCCAAAGCGGGGAAUAACAGUCCGAAAGGAUUGCUAAUACCCCAUGUGGUCAAUGAGUCUAGAUGCUUGUUGACUAAAGGAGCAAUCCGUUUUGGGAGGGGCCUGCGCCCCAUCAGCUAGUUGGUAGGGUAAUGGCCUACCAAGGCUACAACGGGUAGGGGGCCUGAGAGGGUGACCCCCCACAUUGGCACUGACACACGGGCCAAACUCCUACGGGAGGCAGCAGUGAGGAAUAUUGCUCAAUGGGCGAAAGCCUGAAGCAGCAACGCCGCGUGCGCGAUGAAGGUCUUCGGAUCGUAAAGCGCUUUUGAGAGGGACGAGAUAGGACGGUACCUCUUGAAUAAGUCACGGCUAACUACGUGCCAGCAGCCGCGGUAAAACGUAGGUGGCAAGCGUUAUCCGGAUUCACUGGGCGUAAAGCGAGUGCAGGUGGUUGUGUAAGUUGGAUGUGAAAUUUCCCAGCCUAACUGGGAAGGGUCAUUCAAUACUGCGCGACUUGAGGGCAGAAGAGGGGGGUGGAAUUGCCGGUGUAGUGGUGAAAUGCGUAGAUAUCGGCAGGAACACCUGUGGCGAAAGCGGCCCCCUGGUCUGAUCCUGACACUCAGACUCGAAAGCUAGGGUAGCGAACGGGAUUAGAAACCCCGGUAGUCCUAGCCGUAAACGAUGGAUGCUAGGUGUGGGUGGUAUUGACCCCAUCCGUGCCGAAGCUAACGCGUUAAGCAUCCCGCCUGGGGACUACGGCCGCAAGGUUAAAACUCAAAGGAAUUGACGGGGACCCGCACAAGCAGCGGAGCGUGUG